rnacentral:rRNA from 1 species
GACGAACGCUGGCGGCGUGCUUAACACAUGCAAGUCGAACGGAAAGGCCCUGCUUUUGUGGGGUGCUCGAGUGGCGAACGGGUGAGUAACACGUGAGUAACCUGCCCUUGACUUUGGGAUAACUUCAGGAAACUGGGGCUAAUACCGGAUAGGAGCUCCUGCUGCAUGGUGGGGGUUGGAAAGUUUCGGCGGUUGGGGAUGGACUCGCGGCUUAUCAGCUUGUUGGUGGGGUAGUGGUUUACCAAGGCUUUGACGGGUAGCCGGCAUGAGAGGGUGACCGGCCACAUUGGGACUGAGAUACGGCCCAGACUCCUACGGGAGGCAGCAGUGGGGAGUAUUGCACAAUGGGCGGAAGCCUGAUGCAGCAACGCCGCGUGCGGGAUGACGGCCUUCGGGUUGUAAACCGCUUUCGCCGGUGACGAAGCGUGAGUGACGGUAAUGGGUAAAGAAGCACCGGCUAACUACGUG